AGAGUGUCAGAUAUAUUUGUAUUAGGGUUGAAUUAAGAUAUAGAAAUUUUACAAUAACAGAUGAUAUGCACCAUGAAAGUUAAACAUCCUAUGAUAAAAGUUUUGCACAUUAUUUAUGGAAACCGUAUAUGUAUACAUGUACUUCCGUCCAAUUUUUCCUUCCUACAUUACUUGCGACAGUAAGCACUGCAUUUUUAGGUGAAAUAACUUAAAAGGUAAACAUUAUUAAAUCGAUUUCCACAACUUGAAGUAAUUUAUGAUAAAAUGAUAUCACAAAAAGAACAGAACCAGAAUCAACCAACAACAUAUAAAAAAACCGAAUAAAACUUGCAAAAAUUAAUCAAAGUCAAAAACCCUCUUUGACGCCGCAUUUUUAGUGUAACGUCGUGUUGUAGGAACAUCGUGCACAACGUUUCUGAACUAUUCAAAUUUCCGAAUUUCUGAAUUCAUUAGUUCAUUGUGAGAGUGUUUGAAAUGACGUCUCAGCAAAAUAAUGAGAGUAAUAUUGUAAUCACUAUUUUGUAAAUCUUAUAAAUCGGUCAAAACUUAUUUUAUAUUAAACUAUCUUUUGCUACAAAAAUAUAUACACGGA
rnacentral:lncRNA from 1 species